GAUGAACGCUGGCGGCGUGCCUAAUACAUGCAAGUCGAGCGAACGGACGAGAAGCUUGCUUCUCUGAUGUUAGCGGCGGACGGGUGAGUAACACGUGGAUAACCUACCUAUAAGACUGGGAUAACUUCGGGAAACCGUAGCUAAUACCGGAUAAUAUUUUGAACCGCAUGGUUCAAUAGUGAAAGACGGUCUUGCUGUCACUUAUAGAUGGAUCCGCGCCGCAUUAGCUAGUUGGUAAGGUAACGGCUUACCAAGGCAACGAUGCAUAGCCGACCUGAGAGGGUGAUCGGCCACACUGGAACUGAGACACGGUCCAGACUCCUACGGGAGGCAGCAGUAGGGAAUCUUCCGCAAUGGGCGAAAGCCUGACGGAGCAACGCCGCGUGAGUGAUGAAGGUCUUCGGAUCGUAAAACUCUGUUAUUAGGGAAGAACAUAUGUGUAAGUAACUGUGCACAUCUUGACGGUACCUAAUCAGAAAGCCACGGCUAACUACGUG
rnacentral:rRNA from 1 species